rnacentral:lncRNA from 1 species
CACCGACCACUGAUCUUAACUUCGGCCACCGACCAUUGAUCUUAACUUUGGCCACCUGACUUCGAUUAUCUGACUUUGGCCACCUAUCCUGUUACUUGAAUCGAAGAAAUAUCCUUGCAAGCUAUGCCAUUAGCCAAUCCUCGGUUCCUCUAUCGAAUCUGACCUGAUUUGGAAAUCUCAUACCUCUUUCAAAAUUCAAACAACAUGAUAACUAGCCGUGGGAUGGAUAAGGAAGAACAAAUAAAUUCUUCUAGAUAAGGAAAGGAUAACGACCAAAUCUCAUCGAAUAAGGCAAGGCUAACUGCCUGAUCCUUCUUCCUCUCACGACUCUUCAGCCUCCAUCCAUAAAUAAAGGACCAAAAGGGACCCUUUAAAUAUGAAAUUUCUCUCUUCCAACAUACUCACUCCUUUCCUUCUAUUACCUGAUAUCUAACUUGAGCAUCAAAAGGUCC